rnacentral:rRNA from 1 species
AUGUGGGUAAGCAUCUCACGCAAACUUGAUGUUCGCCGUCAUACACGGGAGAUCAUCGAGUCUGCCUCUCAGAGGGAAUGCCCACGCAUUGAUAACCUUGAUACUCUGCAGCGCAAGUUAACAGACAUACUGCAAGGAUCAGGGAAAUUCCUGCUUGUGCUGGAUGAUGUUUGGUUUGAACCUGGUAGCGAAAGGGAAUGGGACCAACUGUUAGCUCCUCUAGUUUCCCAACAGAUGGGAAGCAAAGUCUUGGUAACUUCUCGACGAGAUACAUUUCCACCUGCUCUUUGCUGUGAAGAAGUGUGUCCUCUGGAAAAGAUGGAGGAUGCUCAGUUCUUGGCACUCUUCAAACACCAUGCAUUCUUUGGACCAAAAAUCAGAAAUCCACAGUUGUGUAAAAAGCUGGAAGGUUUUGCAGAGAAGAUUGCUAAAAGGCUUGGACAAUCUCCUUUGGCGGCAAAAGUUAUGGGUUCUCAGUUGAAAGGGAAAACCGAUAUAUCUUCAUGGAAGGAUGCUCUAACUUUAAUGACUGACAAAUUAAGUGAGCCCAUGGCAGCUUUGUUGUGGAGUUAUAAGAAGUUAGAUCCAUGUCUGCAAAGGUGCUUCCUAUACUGUAGCCUCUUUCCAAAAGGCUACAGGUAUGUCAUUGAUGAUUUGGUUUAUCUUUGGAUGGGUGAGGGUCUUUUUGAUUCGUGCAACCAAAACAAGAGAGUGAAAGAUAUUGGGAGGGAUUGCUUCAAGGAGAUGGUCUCUGUUUCAUUCUUUCAACCAUACGUUGGCCCGUAUUAUGUUAUGCAUGAUCUCCUUCAUGAUCUGGCAGAAUCACACUCCAAAGAAGACUACUUCAGAUUGGAAGAUGAUAAGGUGACAGAAAUAUCAUCCACUGUUCGACACCUAUCUGUUCGUGUUGAUAGUAUGAUGCAACACAAGCAAAGUAUCUGCAAGCUACAUCAUUUACGCACUAUUAUCUGCAUAGAACCCAUAGUGGAUGAUGUACGUGACCUUUUUAAUCAGAUAAUACAGAAUUUGAAGAAGUUGUGCGUGCUAUGCUUGUCAUCUUACAGUAGUAGUAAGUUGCCAUAUUCUGCUGGUGAGUUGAAGCACCUUCGGUAUUUGAACCUUAAAGAAACACUGAUUUCUGAAUUGCCAAGAUCAUUGUGUACCCUUUACCACUUACAGUUACUUCUGUUAAAUGGUAAAGUUAAGAGUUUCCCUGAGAAACUCAGCAAUUUAGUGAAGUUACAACAUCUUGAAUCGAGCUUCAAAGAAGCAAUUCCUAACAUUGGCAAGCUAACAUUGCUUCAACAAUUAGGGGAAUUUUCUGUGCAAAAGAAAAAGGGAUAUGAGUUACAACAGCUCAGGGACAUGAACGAGAUUCAUGGCAGUUUAAGGGUCACAAAUCUUGAGAAUGUUGCUGGGAAGGAUCAAGCCUUAGAAUCAAAGCUGCACAAGAAAAGUCAACUUGGCAGCUUAGAACUUGUAUGGAGUUAUGAAAAUAACACAAAUGCAGAGGAUAGUUUACAUUUGGAGGUUCUAAAAGGCCUGAUGCCACCGCCUCAGCUUAGGGAUCUUACAAUUGACGGUUACAGAUCUUCAGAAUAUCCAAGCUGGUUACUUGAUGGUUCAUAUUUUGAGAAUUUGGGAUCUUUAAGCUUUAAUAAUUGCAGCGCAUUACAAAGCCUACCAUCCAAUAUAGGCCUUCGUUUUUUACAUGUAGACAAUUGCCCACUGCUUAUAUUUAUUUCCAACGAUGAGAUGGAACAUCAUGAUCAGAGAGAGAAUAUCAUGAGGACAGACCACUUGGAAUCACAGUUUCGUUUAAUCUGGCAGGUGGAUUCAAGAUCACUUAUUAGGUCUGUACUCCCAAGGGAAUAUUCAGUUCUGAAGCAGUUGUUGACACUGAUGCAUAGUGAUGUGACACAUGUUCAAAACCUUGAGAGUACUCUACAAAGAGAGAAGGAUAAAGUAUUGGUGAAGGAGGAUGUCAUCAAGGCAUGGAUAUAUUGUCACGAGCAAAGGAUGCGACUCACGUAUGGAAGUAGCAUUGGGCUGCCACUUGUUCCACCAUCAGGACUUCGUCAACUUUAUCUUUCUUCAUGCUGUAUUACAGAUGGAGCUUUAGCUGUUUGCCUUGCUGGCCUAGCUUCACUGAAAAUUUUGUUCUUAGUAGAGAUUAUGACUCUAACUACACUUCCUUCAGAAGAGGUCCUCCAACAUUUGACAGAACUUUCCAGCUUGUCCAUCUAUGAUUGCUGGUGUCUCAGGUCGUUAAGGGGCUUACGAGCUGCUACCUCUCUUUCAUGUGUUGAUUUGAUUUCCUGCCCUUCUUUAGAGUUGGCAUGUGGAGGAGAAUGUUUGCCAUCAUCACUUGAGAGGCUUAGUAUACAGAAUUGUGUGUUUGCAGCUGACUUCCUCUGUACUGAUUGGCCACACAUGAAUCAUGUUCUCAUAGGGAAUUGCAGAACCAGAUGCUUGUCUGUUGGUAGUUUCACAUCUGUUAAAUGUUUGUCGCUGAAGUGCUUGCCAGAUUUAUGUGUGCUCGAAGGAUUGUCUUCCCUGCAACUUGACCAUUUAAGUUUGAUUGAUGUUCCAAAGCUCACCCCGGAGUGUAUCUCACAGUUUCGAGUACAGGACUCACUUCAUGUUAGCAGUCCUGUAAUACUCAACGACAUGCUCUUGGCUGAAGCUUCCACAGUUCCAGCAUCUUUGACUCUUCAAGGAAGCAAGGAACCAUUCAUUUCAUUUGAGGAAUCCGCAAAUUUCACAUCUGUGAGGAGUCUGACGUUCUGGGAUUGUGAAAUGAUUUCCCUGCCAACAAAUCUGAAGUGCUUCUCCAAUCUGAAGAAUCUCGGUAUCUAUAGAUGCCCCAACAUAUCAUCUUUACCAGACCUGCCAUCCUCCCUCCAGUGGAUACGUGUAUCGGGUUGUUCUGAGCUAUUGGUGGAGAGCUGUCGAGCACCUGAUGGAGAAAGCUGGCCAAAGAUCGCGCAUAUCCGCUGGAAGGAAUUUGAAUAA